AGAUUAAGUUAUUAAGGGCGCACGGUGGAUGCCUUGGCACUAGAAGCCGAUGAAGGACGUUACUAACGACGAUAUGCUUUGGGGAGCUGUAAGUAAGCUUUGAUCCAGAGAUUUCCGAAUGGGGAAACCCAGCAUGAGUUAUGUCAUGUUAUCGAUAUGUGAAUACAUAGCAUAUCAGAAGGCACACCCGGAGAACUGAAACAUCUUAGUACCCGGAGGAAGAGAAAGAAAAUUCGAUUCCCUUAGUAGCGGCGAGCGAAACGGGAAGAGCCCAAACCAACAAGCUUGCUUGUUGGGGUUGUAGGACACUCUAUACGGAGUUACAAAGGACGACAUUAGACGAAUCAUCUGGAAAGAUGAAUCAAAGAAGGUAAUAAUCCUGUAGUCGAAAAUGUUGUCUCUCUUGAGUGGAUCCUGAGUACGACGGAGCACGUGAAAUUCCGUCGGAAUCUGGGAGGACCAUCUCCUAAGGCUAAAUACUCUCUAGUGACCGAUAGUGAACCAGUACCG
rnacentral:rRNA from 1 species